GAAAGCCAUAUUUGAUGAAAGUCAUAUGUAUGGCUUGAAGGGAGGUUUUUCAUAUCUUUCAAGAUUCACCCUAC
rfam:Populus trichocarpa isolate Nisqually-1 chromosome 8, whole genome shotgun sequence.